UCAUGCUCAGUUCAAUCACUUCCUAUCUCUCAUUCUCCAUUGCGACAGAGCUCACCACUGGUGAUGGAGCAUCAAACACCAUAUCCAUAUACACUAUUUCAAUCUAAUUUUCGAGCUCUAACCAAAUCCAACACUGAAUUCACCUGAAACCUCAUGCAUUUUCCAAAUCGUACAAAAACAACUAUGAAUCCUAACCACGAAAUUACAAAUUAAAUGAUUAGAUGAAGGAAUCAAAGUCCCUAAGGUCAUGGUUUUGAUUCCUCGUCGCCUAUGCUACAUGGUGGUAACAAUAAUGAAGCCAAAUGGUGAAGAAGAUCAAAGUUACCUGUCGAAGAUGAAUGUCUGAGAUUGGAGCCAAUAGAGAUAUAUGAACAAGCUUCAGGUUGGGCUUUUAUCUGGAAAUUGCAAGGGUUGCUUAGAAAUUGAACAUGACCUCAAGGCAAGGCAAAAGCAAGGCUUGACAAAUGAUCAUUCAAGGCAUGGCAAGAAACAAUACUUGGUGCAAAAGUGAGGUUUUCUUGCUCUUGAAGAAUUAAACAUGGAAUCACAUGGAAAGAUGCACGAAUGAAUAUACAAUGAGCAUUAGGGUUUGGUCAUGUAAAAAUCAGGUUAGUUGACUUUGGUCAACUAGUUGAUCAAAAAGUCAACAGUUGACCAAAAGUUAACUUUCGUAAAAAUUGUACUGUUUUUAUCUUCUUUUGUAUGGACAGUGUAAAUUGACAAAUGUAUGAAUGAAUGGACCUUAU